AGAGAGAGACAUGCGCGCAUAUCAAUAAGCGGAGGAAAAGAAACUAACUAGGAUUCCCUCAGUAACGGCGAGUGAAGCGGGAAGAGCUCAAAUUUGAAAUCUUAAAGGGUUUCCCUUGACGAAUUGUAGUUUAAAGAAGUGUUUUCUGUUGGAGGUUUUGGUAAAAGUUCUUUGGAAUAGGACAUCAUAGAGGGUGAGAAUCCCGUAUUUGACCAUUAUUUCCAGCUUUGUGAUACACUUUCAAGAGUCGGAUUGUUUGGGAAUGCAGUCCAAAAUGGGUGGUAAAUUUCAUCUAAAGCUAAAUACUGGCGAGAGACCGAUAGCGAACAAGUACCGUGAGGGAAAGAUGAAAAGAACUUUGAAAAGAGAGUUAAACAGUACGUGAAAUUGUCAAAAGGGAAGCGUUUGACACCAGUGUUGUUUUCUCGAAAAUCAAUUAAAAAAGGCAGGAUUUUGUGUUGUAUUGACUUUAUCAGCUUUCUGCACUCUUUUCUUGUCUUUUUUAAUGCACUUUUCGUUUAACAAGUCAACAUCAAUUUCUUUUGUUGUAAAAGGGUCAUUGGAAGGUGGCUUUCUUUUCGGAGAAAGUGUUUAUAGCCUUUGGCCUCUGCAAUCGGAGAGAUUGAGGUCUGCAGCGUAGAUCCUUCGGGGUUAGAUACAUUUGUGCUAAGUUAUAGCCUUUCAUAGACAACUUGUUGACUAUGAUCAGUCAUGUAGCUUACUCGCUUAUGCUAUUUUACCUACGCUUAGGAUGUUGAUGUGAUACUGCGAGCA
rnacentral:rRNA from 1 species